AUAUUACUUCCUCCAUUCAAAAAUAAUUGUUCUAAAGAUGUAUACAAUGGAUGUAUCUUUAAUUAAAGUAAGUCUAGAUACAUCGAUUUUUAGAACAAGUAUUUCGGGGCGGAGGGAGUAUCCU
rfam:Hordeum vulgare subsp. vulgare, WGS project CAJW01000000 data, contig: morex_contig_53929